GAUGAACGCUGGCGGCGUGCCUAAUACAUGCAAGUCGAGCGAACAGACGAGGAGCUUGCUCCUCUGACGUUAGCGGCGGACGGGUGAGUAACACGUGGAUAACCUACCUAUAAGACUGGGAUAACUUCGGGAAACCGGAGCUCAUAUCGGAUAAUAUAUUGAACCGCAUGGUUCAAUAGUGAAAGACGGUUUUGCUGUCACUUAUAGAUGGUUCCGCGCCGCAUUGGCUAGUUGGUAAGGUAACGGCUUACCAAGGCUACGAUGCGUAGCCGACCUGAGAGGGUGAUCGGCCACACUGGAACUGAGACACGGUCCAGACUCCUACGGGAGGCAGCAGUGGGGAAUCUUCCGCAAUGGGCGAAAGCCUGACGGAGCAACGCCGCGUGAGUGAUGAAGGUCUUCGGAUCGUAAAACUCUGUUAUUAGGAAAGAACAAAUGUGUAAGAAACUAUGCACGUCUUGACGGUACCUAAACAGAAAGCCACGGCUAACUACGUG
rnacentral:rRNA from 1 species